rnacentral:rRNA from 1 species
UACAGAGGUGGCAAGCGUUGUUCGGAUUUACUGGGCGUAAAGGGUGCGUAGGCGGUCCGGUGUGUCGGAUGUGAAAGCCCACGGAUCAUCCGUGGAAUGGCAUUCGAAACUGCCGGGCUAGAGUGUCGGAGAGGAUGGCGGAAUUCUCGGUGUAGCGGUGAAAUGCGUUGAGAUCGAGAGGAACGCCGGUGGCGAAGGCGGCCAUCUGGACGACAACUGACGCUGAGGCACGAAAGCUAGGGGAGCAAACAGG